GUCUAUGGACAUACUACCUUGAAUGUGCCCUAUGCCGGGAAGCUAAGCAGGGUCAGGUUUGAUUAGUACUUGGAUGGGAGACCGCUUGGGGAUACCGGGUGCUUAUAGGCU
rnacentral:rRNA from 1 species